UAAGCCCCCCACCCCAUUAUAAUCAAUGGGGCUGGGCCAUAAGCCCCCCACCCCAUUCUAAUCAAUGGGGCUGGGCUCUGCUGGCCUUGGGCUGGGGUCUCCUCUCGCCCCCCAUAGGCCCCCAUUGUAAUAAAGGGGGGUGGGCGCUGCUCGCUCUCAUUGGGGGUCUGUUCUCGCCGCCCCCCGUGGCUGCAGUUCGCAAGUUGAUCCACGUGGGGGCGCUGUUCCCCAUGAGCGGGGGGUGGCCGGGCGGUCAGGCCUGUCUGCCAGCCGUAAACAUGGCGCUGGAGGACGUCAACCGCCGCCAUGACAUCCUGCCCGACUAUGAACUGAGGCUCAUACACCAUGAUAGUAAGUGUGACCCGGGCCAGGCGACGCAGCUGCUGUACGAGCUGCUGUACAGUGACCCCAUUAAGGUGGUUUUAACUGCCUCGGCUGCAGCACGCGUCUCCCACGUU